rnacentral:rRNA from 1 species
UACGUAGGGUCCGAGCGUUGUCCGGAAUUACUGGGCGUAAAGAGCUCGUAGGUGGUUGUCGCGUUGUUCGUGAAAACUCACAGCUCAACUGUAGGCGUGCGGGCGAUACGGGCAGACUAGAGUACGUGCAGGGGAGACUGGAAUUCCUGGUGUAGCGGUGGAAUGCGCAGAUAUCAGGAGGAACACCGGUGGCGAAGGCGGGUCUCUGGGCAGUAACUGACGCUGAGGAGCGAAAGCGUGGGGAGCGAACAGG